rnacentral:rRNA from 1 species
GACGAACGCUGGCGGCGUGCCUAAUACAUGCAAGUCGAACGAGAGCGACCGGUGCUUGCACUGGUCAAUCUAGUGGCGAACGGGUGAGUAACACGUGGGUAACCUGCUCAUCAGAGGGGGAUAACAUCCGGAAACGGAUGCUAAAACCGCAUAGGUCUUCGAGCCGCAUGGCUUGAAGAGGAAAAGAGGCGCAAGCUUCUGCUGAUGGAUGGACCCGCGGUGCAUUAGCUAGUUGGUGAGGUAACGGCUCACCAAGGCCGUGAUGCAUAGCCGACCUGAGAGGGUGAUCGGCCAGAUUGGGACUGAGACACGGCCCAAACUCCUACGGGAGGCAGCAGUAGGGAAUCUUCCGCAAUGGACGCAAGUCUGACGGAGCAACGCCGCGUGAGUGAAGAAGGUGUUCGGAUCGUAAAACUCUGUUGUUAGAGAAGAACAAGUGCUAGAGUAACUGUUAGCGCCUUGACGGUAUCUAACCAGAAAGCCACGGCUAACUACGUG